AUUGAACGCUGGCGGCAGGCCUAACACAUGCAAGUCGAACGUGUCGCGGACUUGUGUGUAAUGUCUGGGAACCUGCCCGUUCGCUGGGGAUCCCUACUGGAAACCGUCGCUUAUACCCCAUACCAUCGGAUGUUCCCAGAUGGGUUUAGCUAGUAGGUGGGGUAACGGCUAACCUAGGCGACGAUCCCUAGCUGGUCUGAGAGGAUGACGAGCCACACGGGAACUGAGAAACGGGCCAGACUCCUACGGGAGGCAGAAGUGGGGAAUAGUGCACAAUGGGCGCAAGCCUGAUGCAGCAAUGCCGCGUGUAUGAAGAAGGCCUUCGGGUUGUAAAGUAGUUUCAGCGAGGAGGCGGUAAGCGAAGAAGAAGCACCGGCUAACUCCGUGCCAGCAGCCGCGGUAAUAG
rnacentral:rRNA from 1 species